rnacentral:rRNA from 1 species
AUUGAACGCUGGCGGCAGGCCUAACACAUGCCAGUCGAGCGGAUGAAGGGAGCUUGCUCCUGGAUUCAGCGGCGGACGGGUGAGUAAUGCCUAGGAAUCUGCCUGGUAGUGGGGGAUAACGUCUGGAAACGGGCGCUAAUACCGCAUACGUCCUGCGGGAGCAAGUGGGGGAUCUUCGGACCUCACGCUAUCAGAUGAGCCUAGGUCGGAUUAGCUAGUUGGUGGGGUAAAGGCCUACCAAGGCGACGAUCCGUAGCUGGUCUGAGAGGAUGAUCAGUCACACUGGAACUGAGACACGGUCCAGACUCCUACGGGAGGCAGCAGUGGGGAAUAGUAGACAAUGGGCGAAAGCCUUGUCCAGCCAUGCCGAGUGUGAGAAGAAGGUCUUCGGAUUGUAAAGCACUUUAAGUUGGGAGGAAGGGCAGUAAGUUAAUACCUUGCGGUUGUGACGUUACUAGCAGAAUAAGCACCGGCUAACUUCGUG